GGACAGUACUGACGCUGAGAUGCGAAAGCGUGGGGAGCAAACAGGAUUAGAUACCUGGUAGUCACGCUGUAAACGAUGUCGAUUUGGAGUUUGUUGCCUAGAGUGAUGGGCUCCGAAGCUAACGCGAUAAAUCGACCGCUGGGGAGUACGGCCGCAAGGUUAAAACUCAAAUGAAUUGACGGGGGCCCGCACAAGCGGUGGAGCAUGUGGUUUAAUUCGAUGCAACGCGAAGAACCUUACCUGGUCUUGACAUCCAUAGAAUUCUGCAGAGAUGUGGGAGUGCCUUCGGGAACUAUGAGACAGGUGCUGCAUGGCUGUCGUCAGCUCGUGUUGUGAAAUGUUGGGUUAAGUCCCGCAACGAGCGCAACCCUUAUUCUUUGUUGCCAGCGAUUUGGUCGGGAACUCAAAGGAGACUGCCGUUGAUAAAGCGGAGGAAGGUGGGGACGACGUCAAGUCAUCAUGGCCCUUACGACCAGGGCUACACACGUGCUACAAUGGCGUAUACAAAGGGAAGCGAAGGUGCGAGCUGGAGCGGAUCUCAUAAAGUACGUCUAAGUUCGGAUUGGAGUCUGCAACUCGACUCCAUGAAGUCGGAAUCGCUAGUAAUCGUAGAUCAGAAUGCUACGGUGAAUACGUUCCCGGGCCUUGUACACACCGCCCGUCACACCAUGGGAGUGGGUUGCACCAGAAGUAGAUAGCUUAACCGCGAGGGGGGCGUUUACCACGGUGUGAUUCAUGACUGGGGUGAAGUCGUAACAAGGUAACCA
rnacentral:rRNA from 1 species